GAUGAACGCUGGCGGCGUGCCUAAUACAUGCAAGUCGAGCGAACUGAUUAGAAGCUUGCUUCUAUGACGUUAGCGGCGGACGGGUGGGUAACACGUGGGCAACCUGCCUGUAAGACUGGGAUAACUUCGGGAAACCGAAGCUAAUACCGGAUAGGAUCUUCUCCUUCAUGGGAGAUGAUUGAAAGAUGGUUUCGGCUAUCACUUACAGAUGGGCCCGCGGUGCAUUAGCUAGUUGGUGAGGUAACGGCUCACCAAGGCAACGAUGCAUAGCCGACCUGAGAGGGUGAUCGGCCACACUGGGACUGAGACACGGCCCAGACUCCUACGGGAGGCAGCAGUAGGGAAUCUUCCGCAAUGGACGAAAGUCUGACGGAGCAACGCCGCGUGAGUGAUGAAGGCUUUCGGGUCGUAAAACUCUGUUGUUAGGGAAGAACAAGUACGAGAGUAACUGCUCGUACCUUGACGGUACCUAACCAGAAAGCCACGGCUAACUACGUGCCAGCAGCCGCCGCUGUAA
rnacentral:rRNA from 1 species